CCUACAGGCGGCAGCAGUGGGGAAUAUUGGACAAUGGGGGGAACCCUGAUCCAGCCAUGCCGCGUGUGUGAAGAAGGCCCUCGGGUUGUAAAGCACUUUCAGUGAGGAAGAACGCCUGGUGGUUAAUACCCAUCAGGAAAGACAUCACUCACAGAAGAAGCACCGGCUAACUCCGUGCCAGCAGCCGCGGUAAUACGGAGGGUGCGAGCGUUAAUCGGAAUUACUGGGCGUAAAGCGCGCGUAGGUGGCUUGAUAAGCCGGUUGUGAAAGCCCCGGGCUCAACCUGGGAACGGCAUCCGGAACUGUCAAGCUAGAGUGCAGGAGAGGAAGGUAGAAUUCCCGGUGUAGCGGUGAAAUGCGUAGAGAUCGGGAGGAAUACCAGUGGCGAAGGCGGCCUUCUGGACUGACACUGACACUGAGGUGCGAAAGCGUGGGUAGCAAACAGGAUUAGAUACCCCAGUAGUC
rnacentral:rRNA from 1 species